GCAUAUCAAUAAGCGGAGGAAAAGAAACCAACAGGGAUUGCCCCAGUAACGGCGAGUGAAGCGGCAACAGCUCAAAUUUGAAAUCUGGCUCUCGGGCCCGAGUUGUAAUUUGUAGAGGAUGCUUUUGGUGAGGUGCCUUCCGAGUUCCCUGGAACGGGACGCCAUAGAGGGUGAGAGCCCCGUCUGGUUGGACGCCGAACCUCUGUAAAGCUCCUUCGACGAGUCGAGUAGUUUGGGAAUGCUGCUCUAAAUGGGAGGUAUAUGUCUUCUAAAGCUAAAUACCGGCCAGAGACCGAUAGCGCACAAGUAGAGUGAUCGAAAGAUGAAAAGAACUUUGAAAAGAGAGUUAAACAGUACGUGAAAUUGUUGAAAGGGAAGCGCUUGUGACCAGACUUGGGCUUGGUUGAUCAUCCGGGGUUCUCCCCGGUGCACUCUUCCGGCCCAGGCCAGCAUCAGUUCGCCCUGGGGGACAAAGGCAUCGGGAACGUGGCUCUCUCCGGGGAGUGUUAUAGCCCGUUGCGUAAUACCCUGCGGCGGACUGAGGUUCGCGCAUUCGCAAGGAUGCUGGCGUAAUGGUCAUCAGUGACCCGUCUUGAAACACGGACCAAGGAGUCGUCUUCGUAUGCGAGUGUUCGGGUGUCAAACCCCUACGCGAAAUGAAAGUGAACGCAGGUGAGAGCUUCGGCGCAUCAUCGACCGAUCCUGAUGUUAUCGGAUGGAUUUGAGUAAGAGCAUACGGGGCCGGACCCGAAAGAAGGUGAACUAUGCCUGUGUAGGGUGAAGCCAGAGGAAACUCUGGUGGAGGCUCGCAGCGGUUCUGACGUGCAAAUCGAUCGUCAAACAUGGGCAUGGGGGCGAAAGACUAAUCGAACCUUCUAGUAGCUGGUUUCCGCG
rnacentral:rRNA from 2 species